rnacentral:rRNA from 1 species
CAAUAGCGUAUAUUAAAGUUGUUGCAGUUAGAACGCUCGUAGUCGGAUUUCGGGGCAGUCCGACCGGUCUGCCGAUGGGUAUGCACUGGCCGGAGUGUCCUUUUUGCCGGAGACCGUGCCUACUCUUAACUGAGCGGGGGCGGGAGACGGCACUUUUACUUUGAAAAAAUCAGAGUGUUUCAAGCAGGCAGCUCGCUCUUGCAUGGAUUAGCAUGGGAUAAUGAAAUAGGACUUUGGUGCUAUUUUGUUGGUUUCGAACACCGAAGUAAUGAUGAGAAGGGACAGUCAGGGGCACUCGUAUUCCGCAGAGAGAGGUGAAAUUCUCAGACCCGCGGAAGACGAACCACUGCGAAAGCAUUUACCAGGGAUGUUUUCACUGA